rnacentral:rRNA from 1 species
UUGACCUCAAAUCAGGUAGGACUACCCGCUGAACUUAAGCAUAUCAAUAAGCGGAGGAAAAGAAACUAACAAGGAUUCCCCUAGUAACUGCGAGUGAAGCGGGAAAAGCUCAAAUUUUGAAUCUGGCGGUCUUUGCGGCCGUCCGAGUUGUAAUCUAGAGAAGCGUCUUCCGCGCUGGACCCGUGUACAAGUUUCCUGGAAUGGAACAUCAUAGAGGGUGAGAAUCCCGUCUUUGACACGGACUGCCAGGGCUAUGUGAAGCGCUCUCGACGAGUCGAGUUGUUUGGGAAUGCAGCUCAAAUAGGGUGGUAAAUUCCAUCUAAAGCUAAAUACAGGCGAGAGACCGAUAGCGAACAAGUACCGUGAGGGAAAGAUGAAAAGAACUUUGGAAAGAGAGUUAAACAGUACGUGAAAUUGCUGAAAGGGAAACGCUUGAUGUCAGUCGCGUCUGCCGGGGAUCAGCCUUGCAUUCAU